AUUUCAAGUUACAAGACAGAUAUAUCUCCCAUCAUUUCCAGAAUACUACACUAAGAAAUUUAACUCACAUUUACACUGUAAUUGAUCAAGAAAUUAGUAUGCAAAAUACUGAAAUGUCAAGUCAUAAUAUAGCUCACAACUCACAAGAACCAUUUUGCAUCUACAAUAUAUAUCACAGAAUUCAUUAGGGUGAAGAUUUUGGAAAAAAAAAAGUUGGGAUUAAAGAAUCAACUGAUAUGUGAAAUGUCAACUUCCUCAGGAAUUUUGAAUGUGUCUGCUGCCCCGAAUUUUCUCUGUUCUUCCACGACUGAAUCAUCCUCUUCGCCAUCACUAUCUCCGUCAUCACAAUCAUGAUUGACAUGACCUGAAGGGUCGUGUACACUUUUGGAUCUGCAAUCGUGGGUAGCAAGCAUCUUAACUUGGCCAAGAUGCGCGAUUUCUACCACAACUGUGUCAUCAUCUACGGGGAGAGGCUGCUUCCAUGGUUCUCCAUCGAUCCUCAUGAACGUGUGGUCAGCUGCACCCUUAUGAAACUCAAACCGGAUACGAUGUGCCUGUGCAAGCCGUGUCCCAUGUCCAUUUGGAGCAAGAAGUACCAUUCCAUGCCAAGCAUUUCUAAAGCCAACAACCUCAAUGAGGCCAUCAUCAACAUAUGGAGGAGUCAAGUCCCUAUCUCGGCGUUUGUUGCUAUUUGGUGUUCCCCAAGGAUUUAGUCCACCAGAAAAGCUAGGCAAGUUUAGGCACACAAUUGACCUGAUACUGGGAGGGAUGUCAAGGUCUUGCCAUUCGCCGUGCUUUUUCAUUAUCUUAACUUUGGCCAGUUGAGCUAUGUUCCUUGAAGAAGGAUGAACAAGGGAUGCAAAAAACCAUCCUUGCGUACAACCAAGCCUUGCAUAUGUACUCUGAUUGACAAGCUGGUUUUUGAAUUUUUCAGGAUGCAUCUUUCGUUCUGAAUGAAAUGCAUAUGACACUUGUGCAUCCAUCCCCAUGCUGAAAUAAUUCCAGAAUCCUCCACGAAAUGUAUGGCAUCCUUCCACAUUAAGAUCAUCAGAAGGAGCCACCCGGUGAAACGCAUGCAACGAAUGAGGCAAUUCAAGUGGUGCAAUAGGAUCACAGCAACCCUCUUUUGGUGCUCUCAUCCUCAUUAGAAUGUGCCAACUGUCUAUCUUCAUUUCUUUUGCAUCCAUCACUUUCUUCAAGAAUGAGAUAACCGAGUUUUGGUCGGUUCCUGGAUUCUUCUUUCCCCAGCCAAAAGAGAAUGGAAGGUUGUUUCCAGUUCCCAAAGGCACAGUAGCAAUUGGUGGUGGCUGAGAUAGUUUGAGAUCAGAUACAACUCCAAGAAGCCAGCCAGCUGUGCCAUCGCCACAAUAAUCCUCAAUCUCUCCUCAAGUUUCACGGCAAAUUUAUCACCAUUGCUCUUUAGCUUUUCUAGAUUCAGAUAGAGUCUGCGUAAAACACUAUCAGGAGUUUCUUUUCCCAAAUCAAAAACCUGAUCUUUGUUAAGAAGUGAUUGAUAUGUAUUAAGAAGAUCUCCACCAAGUUGACCUCCACUUUUAGAGUUGAUGAAUACUAGCACGGGACAUGUAGGCACAUCAGGCAAUUUUACAUCAUCACUCCGACUUGCAUCCUCUGAAAGUAUAUAGGUAGGGAUAUAAAAAUCUUUCUUGAUGUCCUCAUUAAAAUUGCUUUCGGAAGUGGCCAUAACUAGCUG
rnacentral:misc_RNA from 1 species